rnacentral:lncRNA from 1 species
CUCGUUAUAACUCUUCACUUUAUAUUUCUCAUUGGACCCGAGUGCAGUAUUUGGCCACCUUUACAACAAUCAAAUUCAUCUCAUAGCAGUCAUGUUGUUUAGAUCUGCACAACAUGAUCCAAAUACUUACGGGUUCAUUUGAUCUGCUUAAUAAUCGUAUAUGCAACAGCUCACUGUUGGCAAGUAAUCCGUCUCGGCAAAACGAUUUUUUUUUUUUGUAUUAGGAGUAAGAUUCUCAUUUACGGACCCCUUGUUGGCCUUUAUGCUAAUUAGGUUUAUGAUACUUUUAUUUAUAACUAGAAUUAUGACCCGCGUUUUGUUGCGGGAUUUGUAAGAUUUGUGUUCAUAAUUUUUCUUCUUUUCUUCUCAUUUAUAAUGUAUCAAAAUGCAAGAUCUAUAUAGAUUGAAUUUGAAAUACUUAACAACAAAACACUUAUUAUUGUAGUAAGAGUAUAUCUUACUAUCAUAUGCAGAGGGAGAGAAUUCGUCUUGUGUUCGUUCGUCGUCCUCUUCUCCUUUCUCCUCCUUUGUCUCUCUCUCUCUCUCCUCGAUCAUGGUCGAAAUUUAUGGAAACCCAAAACAACGCAGGAGACUGUUAAUCAAAACCAAGCAGAUCAGUGAGAUCACCCAGAGAAAGCAAAUUCAACAAACUGUAACCAUUCGCUAGGCUUUGCUCUAUCGCCGCAGCAAAUCCCUAAUCCCUCUGUAUUUGAUCAAGGAAGAGAAGUGAUAUUUCUUCUUUUUCGGAGGUCGAUCUCUCUAUUCCUAUGUAUAGAUCUCUCUCUCUCUUCCCAAUUUCUUAUGUUCUUUCUCCUCGAUUCUUUCUUUCACUUUUUUAUCGGAGACAGAACAGAGCAAAUUUCAGAUGGUCCUUUCUAGAUAGUGUGCGAACUGCGAAACCCAAUC